UCUGCGGUUUCUGGAAUUCUACAG
rnacentral:siRNA from 1 species